rnacentral:lncRNA from 1 species
CACAGCGCUCACUGGCAAGCAACUGUCAGGCUGGAGACCAACAAAGCCCGCUGCCAUCCCACUGUAUCCCCUAUUGGCUACCAAGACCUCUAUCCAAGGAUCCUUGCCUCUGUGGACCGCCUGAUAUCAUUUCGACGAAAUUCAAUGGAUGGAGCAAAGGGAACAGACAGAAACUGGACAAAUUUCCCUGUUUAUAGAAUUUGGAGAAGAGUCAAAGUACCCAAGAUGCUAGAAAAGAUUGGAGAGAUCUUCUUACUGAUGCUGCCUAAAUCCUGAAGACUGGAUAUGUGGAGUGUCUGAUUAAAAUAUAAUCUGUUCAUAUUUCUGUUUCUAAUUCUCCGGUUAUUUUUAGCAUCUUAGAUAGAUUUCUAGACAGAAUAGCUCUUAUUUAUAUUGUAA